rnacentral:lncRNA from 1 species
AUGGAAAUCAGAUUUAUUAAAGGGAAAAGUAGGCUACUGUGAUUUUUAAAAAAUGGAUAAAGACACUACUGAGCAUGAGUCUUGCAGGAGUAAUAACGGGAAAGAGAGAGAUACUUGGUUUCUACCAGUGUGGCUGGAUAUGUUUCUGUAUCAGGAGUGGGACUUUCCUUCAUGUGCUUAGUCACAUAAUUCACCUAGAACUUGAGGGGAUAGGUGAAUGGUUGAAAAUGUGAGACAGGCAUGUAAAAUAAAGGGAAAUGAAUACGUAAAAGGGCUGGAUGGGAAAUUAUUUUGUGCUGACUUCCGUGCACAAAAUAAUUUAUGGAAAUAGUCCUUCAACAUAUAUCUGUAAGAGUGAAAACUCUGGGCUAGAGAACUAGUUUAGAAAUAAAGGGAAAACCCUAUCUUUUGGAAUCCUACUU